rnacentral:rRNA from 1 species
GCACCACAAGCGCGUGGAGCAUGUGGCUUAAUUUGACUCAACACGGGAAAUCUUACCGGGUCCGGACAUACCGAGGAUUGACAGACUGUUAACUGCAACACAUGCUGCUAAGUUUUAAACUUAAUAGCUCUUUCAUGAUUAUAUGAUAGGUGGUGCAUGGCCGUUCUUAGUUCGUGGAGUGAUCUGUCUGCUUAAUUGCGUUUCAAAAUCUAAACCUGAGCGACAAGGUGCUGCUAUCAAAACUGUCUUUGAGUGUGAACUAUAAGUCUUUUGACUUAUGACCAUCACUCUAGACGUUUAUGUUUUGGUGUUGGCCCUUGAUGCUCAUUUGAACGCAACGGACGUGAUUGCAACCCCUUGUUGAGAUUUAUCCGAUCUCCUACGUUCACUGAACCACACUCUUUAGCGAGAGCAGUGGGGAUGUGGAUAAACUCGGGGGACUGCUGACUAUAAACUUUUCUCAAACCAGAGGAAGGUUGC